rnacentral:tRNA from 1 species
GGAAGGGUGGCCGAGUGGUCUAUGGCAACGGUCUUGAAAACCGUCGUGGGGGAAACCUCACCGUGGGUUCGAAUCCCACCCCUUCCGCCA